rnacentral:tRNA from 1 species
AAAAAUUUAGUUAAAGUAUAACGUUAGUUUGUCAAACUAAAAUUAUUAUUAUCUAAUAAUUUUUA